rnacentral:lncRNA from 1 species
UUUCUUUGCCAAUGCAGCUGCUAAUUCAUUGCCUCCUUAUAGAUGUAUUGGAAGGAAAUUCCCAAGCUAGCCAUGAGAUCCACAAUUUGCAGCCAAAAUUGACGAAACUGCCGCGGAACUCUCUGCUCCUUACUCAAAAGAAUGAUAUUUAAAUAAUCACCCUCCACCAUACUGAGUUGUCCCCUCAAUCUAUCAUUAAUCAACUUCAAGCCUUGCAAAAGCGAAGCCAUCUCAGCCAGAUUAGCCGAAGAUACACCACACGAACCUGCA